AGAGUUUGAUCCUGGCUCAGGACGAACGCUGGCGGCGUGCUUAACACAUGCAAGUCACGGGGGCUCCGCAAGGAGCAACCGGCGAACGGGUGCGUAACACGUGAGCAACCUGCCGAUCUGUGGGGGAUAGCCGGGCUAACGCCCGGGUAAUACCGCAUACGUUCUCUUGGGGGAGUCCCUGAGAGAGGAAACCUCCGGGGCAGAUCGAGGGGCUCGCGGCCUAUCAGCUAGUUGGUGUGGGUAAUGGCCCACCAAGGCGACGACGGGUAGCUGGUCUGAGAGGAUGGCCAGCCACAUUGGGACUGAGAGACGGCCCAGACUCCUACGGGAGGCAGCAGUGGGGAAUCUUGCGCAAUGGCCGAAAGGCUGACGCAGCGACGCCGCGUGUGGGAGGACGCCGUUCGGGGUGUAAACCACUGUUGCCCGGGACGAACACACCGUUUCGACGGUGCUGACGGUACCGGGUGAGGAAGCACCGGCUAACUCCGUGCCAGCAGCCGCGGUAAUACGGAGGGUGCGAGCGUUGUCCGGAAUCAUUGGGCGUAAAGGGCGCGUANGUGGCCCGUGCAAGCGUGCGGUGAAAGCUCGGGGCUCAACCCCGAGUCGGCCGUGCGAACUGCUGGGCUGGAGCACUGUANAGGCAGGCGGANUUCCGGGU
rnacentral:rRNA from 1 species